rnacentral:rRNA from 1 species
CCUACGGGCGGCAGCAGUGAGGAAUAUUGGUCAAUGGGCGGGAGCCUGAACCAGCCAAGUCACGUGAGGGAAGACGGUCCUAUGGAUUGUAAACCUCUUUAGGCGGGGAGCAAUGCCGGGCACGCGUGCCCGGAGGGAGAGUACCCGCAGAAUAAGCAUCGGCUAACUCCGUGCCAGCAGCCGCGGUAAUACGGAGGAUGCGAGCGUUAUCCGGUUUUUUGGGGUUUAAAGGGUGCGUAGGCGGAUUUUUAAGUCAGCGGUAAAAUGUCCGGGCACAACCCGGGCCGGCCGUUGAAACUGGGAUCUUGAGUGGGCGAGAAGUAUGCGGAAUGCGUGGUGUAGCGGUGAAAUGCAUAGAUAUCACGCAGAACUCCGAUUGCGAAGGCAGCAGACCGGCGCCCGACUGACGCUGAGGCACGAAAGCGUGGGGAUCGAACAGGAUUAGAUACCCCAGUAGUC